UUUGGGGACCCCUGUCCUAAAGGUAUCACAUCCUCUCUGAUCUUGGAAGCUAAGCAGGGUCAGCCCUGGUUAGUACUUGGAUGGGAGACCGCCAGUGAAUGCCAGGUGCUGUUGACU
rnacentral:rRNA from 1 species